AACUGAAACACUCGUUUGCAUCCUAGAUAUCCGAUAGUUAAUCGGUUUUCCAUUCGUCUUGGAUUUUUUUUUUAUUGCCGUGCAGAACCUACAGGGAGGUAAUUUACCGCCGGAUACCUUUCCAUAUUCAACAUGAAUUACCUGCGACGUCGACUCUCGGACAGUAAUUUCAUGUCAAACUUGCCUAAUGGCUACAUGGGCGAUCUACAGCGGCCAGAUCCGCCGCAGCAGAGCCCAGCCCGGAGGUCUCGCCAGUCUCUCAAGAGAGGCGUCAAUCCACCAGCCAGUCUACGGGCGCCGGCUUCUUUUCCUCCAUUUCCAACGCCGUCAAACAGACCACCGCAGCCGCGGCCGCCACCUUUAACGAGGCCACCGAGAGAGGAAUCGGCUCGAGCAACGCCAAGAUCCUCCUGGUCAUUGAUGACCAGCAGACAGACUGGGCAAAGGUGUUCAGAGGGAAGAAGGUUCAUGGAGAAUUUGACAUUAAAGUAGAACAGGCUGAAUUCUCAGAGGUCAAUCUGGUGGCUCACGCAACGGGAAGCUAUAGUGUGGACAUUGAGGCCAUUCGCAAUGGCAACAAAAUCACAAAGUGUUUCAAGCCAGAUUUUGUGAUGGUGCGACAGCAUGCUUUCAGCAUGGCCAAGAAUGGCGACCACAGGAAUAUUGUGAUUGGACUUCAGUAUGCUGGUCUGCCCAGUGUCAAUUCCCUUCACUCUGUCUACAACUUCUGUGACAAACCAUGGGUGUUCGCUCAGUUGUCCAGAUUGUACAAGCAGUUGGGUCCAGAGGAGUUCCCACUGAUUGACCAGGUUUAUUACCCCAACCACAAGGAGAUGAUCACUACACCUGGCUUUCCUGUGGUAGUGAAGAUGGGUCAUGCUCACUCUGGUAUGGGAAAGGUCAAAGUGGACAAUCAAUAUGAUUUUCAAGACAUUGCUAGUGUUGUGGCUUUGACAAAGACAUAUGCCACUUCUGAACCUUUUAUCGACGCCAAGUAUGACAUCCGAAUCCAGAAAAUCGGUGACAAUUACAAGGCAUACAUGAGGACAUCUAUAUCUGGCAAUUGGAAGACCAACACAGGAUCAGCCAUGUUAGAGCAGGUGGCCAUGUCUGACAGAUAUCGUAUGUGGGUGGACGUAUGCUCUGAGGUUUUCGGGGGUCUUGAUAUAUGCGCUGUUGAAGCAUUGCAUGGUAAAGAUGGUCGAGAUUACAUCAUAGAGGUGGUGGGCUGCUCAAUGCCUCUCAUAGGAGACCAGCAGGAUGAAGACCGGGCUCUAAUGGCUGAUCUUGUUGUGGCUAAAAUGAACCAGACCAUGCUGCACACUUCAUCUCCCACUCCAGUUCGUUCUCAGGGCCCGGCUGUUUCACCUCAACCCGUCUCUCAAUCGAAUGUGCCACAGUCACAACAGCGCCCUCCUCCACAGGGAGGUCCACAACAAGCAGCUGUUAGCGCUACUCCUGCCCGUCAAGGAGCCCCACCGCAGCAGCGGCCCUCUCCUCAGGGCCAGCCCCCUGCCCAAACCCAGUCUGUGACCAGCCCUAAUGCUCAGAACCCCCCUGCUCAACAAACCCGGCCCAAUCAGCCCCCAUUGCGACAAGCCAGUCAAGGGUCUGCAGGUCAGCAGAGGCCCGCACAGGGUCCCGCCCAACGUAGCUCAGGUGGCUCUCCUCAGUCACAGAGGCCCCAGCCAGGCGGUCCCCAACAGCAGCCGCAGAGGCCUCAAACUGGUGGCCAGGGUCCCAAGCCAGCUGGUCAGCCCCAACAGAGGCCACCACAGCCAAGACAAGGCCAGCCAACCAGGCAGCCAACCCAGGGUGGGCCGCAGCCAACCCAGGAAGCCCCACAAACAGCUCCGCAACAGGGCGGUCCUCGCCCCCCUACCACUCAGCAACCACGGCCUGCUUCACAGGGCCAGGGAGGCCCAGGAGGCACACGACCUCCCUUGCAGCAGAAACCCCAACCUCCACAGAAACCAAGUCCAGAUCACCCGGCCCUGAGUGGAUCUCCGCAGCUUAACAAAUCCCAGUCUCUUACCAAUACAUUCAACAUUCCAGAAACGCCGGCCGCCCAGCACCAAAGCCCUAGUCAGGACGAAGCCAAGGCUGAGACCAUCCGCAACCUUCGGAAAUCCUUUGCAAGCCUCUUCUCCGUGGAAUAAACACACAAACACACACACACACACACACAUACACAGACAGUGAGAAAAACACACAAACACAGACACUCUCAUCAAAUACACACAGAAAGGACCAAUUAUAACGCACUUUGCGGUGCACAUCACAUCUGUGUACGUCAAUUUGCAAUGCGACAUCGAUAAAACACUGCCUGCACUUCUAAAGAUUGCAAUGUGAAGUGAGAUAUCACAGCAUUAUUGCAGUUAAAUCUUUUAACACAACUGAAUUCUUUAGACACAUUCCCAGUUUAAGACCAACUGAUGGAGGAAGGUGUGAAAAAAAAAAAAAAAACACACACAUAGAAACACUUGCGCACACACACCCUUUUUACACUACCUACGCAGUGACUGGACCUACACGUGCUGAUACUUAUCUAUUCAUUCCAGUCUCCUAUGAAUAACUUGUCACCGAUAAGUAGAUUCUUUUUGAAAAUGAAAUGUUUUGGUGGACGUUUUGUUGCAAAAUCAUCGACCACCACCACUCUCUCAGAUAUAUUAUAUCUGAAACACGUCUAAGUGUUUGAAGCAUGUUCUGUUUCAAUAAGGGGCACCAUUUAAUGAUUUUAACCCGUGCGCCACAUUGUAAUGUAACCGAUUGGUUAAUCGUUACGUAACUUACACGCUUACAAGCAGGAUUUGGAUUUUGCAAUGAUGUCCCCCUGUGAUGUUGUUAAAAUUUUGCACAGGCUUCCAUCGUUGAAACUAACCCCCUCCCACGGCUGUUAGCGCUACUUUGAAACUGCAUGUCACUUAAGGAGAACGUAGUCGCACAUGUGGGUGUUCUUGCUUUGUGUCGUGUCGUUGCACCUAGAUGAGGUAGUUGUAGUGAAAAUGAUGUUUUAUUUUCGUGAGCAAGCUGUCGCUGCUUUCCCUACGUCCCUCGUCGUGACCAAAAAAACAAAUAAAAACACACACAUGGUACACCCUUCAAUAUGUUGAAUAUGCCUUAGAUAGGAAUAGGUAAAGAGAUGGUUUGUGCAAUCACAUAUGUCUCAGGGAUGUCCUGAAGAGAAAGACACAAUGACCUAGCGCCAUUGAUCAGGUCUUCCAACCCAUUACUGUAGAGAGGUACUGAUUGCGAAGGCCAGUAAAGGGAGGAAUCUGUCGAAUGUAUUUGUUUGCUACAUAAACAUGUUUGCACACUAAUACUGAAACACUUGAGAACAUAUGAGGUGAGUGAAAAAGCUCAGGAAGGUUUGUUGAAUUAAAAGAAGGUAUAUUUUGCAUGCCUGGAUGGGUAAAGGAGAGCAUGUAGGUGUUUGGAGCUGCUUGUUCAUUACACUCGGACGGCGGGGCCUAGGAAAACGCAAAGCCAAGGAUGCCAUCGGCAGCAAACUACUUCACAAAAAGAUCAACUUUAGAGGAGAUGCUCGUCACAUGUUGGGUUUUUGACUAAAAACACAUAUAGUAUGUCCCGGUGCGAUCCUAGUUACACAAUGUGGAUCCUUAAACCAACUACUCCUGAAACGUCUUGCCAUAUCCGAGGAGCUUAGAGCUGAACUGGCAGUGUCUUCCACAAGUGAGGAUAAGACAUCCCAACACUGGUGUGUUUUAGGCAAUAUAUUUAAUCAAGGCCAUUCCAGGAGUCCCGACCCAUCCCGAAACCUCCCCUGCUUCCCGCUCAUCAGCCUGUUGUGUAUUCACAGUGAUCCUUUUGUGACAAAUGGUGCGUUAAUGUGUAUAUAUAUAUGUAUAAUGUAAUGUUGUACCGUAAACUGUCUAAACCAAAUAGAAGUGUUGUACAGGUCUUAAACUCAACAAACGAUGCAAACAUCCUGUAUUUGAUUUGAUCCUCAAAAGUUGGUCGUUGUGGGUCUUGUGUAUGACAGGAUUUUACUUUAAUCAGAUGUGAUUUAGGUUGUGCAAUAUCUCCACUGUUAACUAAACCUAACAGAUGUGUGUUCUUUAUUUCACCCAUUACGUGACAAUUGCAGUUGUUAGAAGCCAUCUUCAGUGUGUCCAUUGAUGAUAUGAGUGUAAGUGGCUUGAUCGGUUCACAUAUGUGGUAAUCUAGAUGGUCCACCAUGAUAUUAUUGUGGCUCAGGCAAACUUUCAGAGCUCUUUUGUGUGGUUCAUGUUUUUACAAAUUAGGAUAGAUAUGUAUAUUAUAUGAUGGCUUUACUGAAUGUCUAAUGAAUAACUGUAUUACUGAUGCAAUCAAGUUUGGAGGCAAAUGGAAAUUCAGUCAUUUAUUUGAAUGUUGCAGUACUUAUGGAACCCAUGCCUGCGGUUUGUACUUCACAAUUUGGUUUUUGUUUUUCGGCAUAUUUGCAUUUGUGUACUUUUGUUUUAUAUAUAUACAGAGGAAAUAUCUCAUUUCAAGAAAAUGUGUCAUAAUUUCUAAAUCGGUUUAUCCUGUUCUGACUGUUUGAAUCUUAGUGAAUUUUAUUGUCUGUUGAUGCCUGCCAAUUGUAUAAAGAAAGGAAGAUAUAAAAUUAAAGUCACAAAUAUAGAGAAUUAUUAGUCUUAAGUCCUAUUAAAAUGAGAAAUAUUGUUAAAAAUUGUGUAGUAUUACACAAACAGAUGCAACUUAGAUGUGAUCUUCAAUGUAGCUUAAUAAUGGUGUCAAAUUACUAUGCUAAAAUGUGCACAUAAUCAAUAAAGUCUAUCAAAUGAA